UAGGACUAUCCUGGUCAAGGUUUUGCUAAAUUGAAAUAUGACUGUACACAGCUUCUGAACUGAAGUGGUCAAUCCCAUCUUGACACACGCACCGACAAGUCAAGUGCUUGACUACACCCAGCAGCCUUCCGUCACUGAAUUAAAAAUUCAGAUAGUUCAGUGCCUAAGUGCAGUGAGUUGCUUGCAAGUCACUGUGGCAGUCU
rnacentral:lncRNA from 1 species